UUUUCUUCCGUCCACACGUGUGAAACUUCCCGGCAAGGCUUUCGAGAAAAAUGCCCAAAUUGAAGGCGGCCCGCGGGGCCGGGGGUCAGGAAAAGCAUGCGCCCCUGGCCGAGCAAAUCCUGGCUGGGGACGCGGUGCGGGCAGGGGCCCGGGAAAAGCGACGGGGUCGCGGAACCGGAGAAGAGGAGGAAGAGUACGUGGGGCCCCGGCUGACCAGACGGAUUUUGCAGCAAGCGCGGCAACAACAAGAGGAGCUCGAGGCCGAGCAUGGGACCGGGGGCAGGCCCGCGGCGCCGCGGGAGCGCACCACGCGGCUGGGAGUGCCACAGGAUGGCUCAGAUGAUGAGGAGUGGCCCACUCUGGAGAAGGCUGCCACCAUGACAGGGCCAGGCUACCACGCAGAGGUGGUUGUGGACCCCGAGGAUGAGCGGGCCAUUGAGAUGUUCAUGAACAAGAACCCUCCUGCCAGGCGCACCCUAGCUGACAUCAUCAUGGAGAAGUUAACUGAGAAGCAGACGGAAGUCGAGACGGUCAUGUCCGAGGUUUCAGGCUUCCCUGUGCCCCAGCUGGACCCCCGGGUCCUGGAGGUCUACAGAGGGGUCCGGGAGGUGUUGUCUAAGUACCGCAGUGGGAAACUGCCCAAGGCAUUUAAGAUCAUCCCUGCCCUCUCCAACUGGGAGCAAAUCCUCUACGUCACAGAGCCUGAGGCCUGGACCGCUGCUGCCAUGUACCAAGCCACGAGGAUUUUCGCCUCUAACCUAAAGGAACGUAUGGCCCAGCGCUUCUAUAACCUGGUCCUGCUCCCCCGGGUACGAGAUGACAUUGCUGAGUACAAACGACUCAACUUCCACCUCUACAUGGCACUGAAGAAGGCUCUAUUCAAGCCUGGAGCCUGGUUUAAAGGCAUCCUGAUCCCGCUGUGCGAGUCGGGCACCUGUACCCUCCGGGAAGCCAUCAUCGUGGGCAGCAUCAUCACCAAGUGCUCCAUCCCUGUGUUGCACUCCAGUGCAGCCAUGCUGAAAAUCGCAGAGAUGGAGUACAGCGGUGCCACCAGCAUCUUCCUGAGGCUGCUGCUGGAUAAGAAGUACGCACUGCCCUACCGGGUGCUGGACGCCUUGGUCUUCCACUUCCUGGGUUUCCGGACGGAGAAGCGUGAGCUGCCAGUGCUCUGGCACCAGUGCCUCCUGACUUUGGUCCAGCGCUACAAGGCUGACUUGGCCACAGAGCAGAAGGAGGCCCUCCUGGAACUGCUCCGGCUGCAGCCCCAUCCCCUGCUGUCCCCCGAGAUCAGGCGUGAGCUUCAGAGUGCCAUCCCCCGAGAUGUAGAAGAUGUUCCCAUCGCCAUGGAGUGACGAAGCAGUGCUCGUCUGCAGGGCAUGGGAGGACACCAGGAUCCCUGCUGCUGACUAAAGUAAGCAAGGCCUUCUGACUUCCUGCAAGGCUCUGAGCACUUCUCCAGCCAGGGUUGAAAGAAAAGACUGCAGCAGCAGAUACCACCACCAUCACCAUGAACUUGAGGCUCCUCUGGCAUGAAGCAGAAAGACUCUCCAUAAUCCCAAGGAUCUGUGAAAGGGGAGAGCACUAGCCUGCCCCCAACUCAGCAUCCCAGCCAAGUCCACACCUCUUGAAGCAACUGGGGUGUCAUCCUCUUGAACCUCUCACAGAGCCCCACAGAAAACAGCCUGGCCUGGAGCGGGAAGAAGUUGGGCAGAGAAGCUCCAUUCUACUCCCGGUGCCUGUCCCAGUGGUCAAACUCCUAACUCAGAAGUGAGCAGAGGGGCUUCCCUGGUGGCGCAGUGGUUAAGAAUCCGCCUGCCGAUGCAGGGGACACGGGUUUGAGCCCUGGUCUGGGAAGACCCCACAUGCCACAGAGCAACUAAGCCCGUGCGCCACAACUACUGAGCCUGCGCUCUAGAGCCCUCGAGCCACAACUACUGAGCCCGCGUGCCUAGAGCCCGUGCUCCGCACCAAGAGAAGCCACCGCAAUGAGAAGCCUGUGCACUGCAAGGAAGAGUAACUCCUGCUCGCCGCAACUAGAGAAAGCCCACAUGUGGCAACGAAGACCCAAUGCAGCCUAAUUAAUUAAUUAAUUUUUAAAAAGAAACCUUUAGGGAAAAAAAAGAAGUGAACAGAAAGCACCUCGCAUCCAAGGAAACAUCUAGAAGGCAACUUGGAGUGGGGCUUUCCCUGUGGGGAGGCAUAGGGUCCUGUGCGAGGGAGGGUAGCCACCUUACCCUGUAUCAGGGCAGCCCCUGAGAAUCUCAGCCCUCACUUGGCCGAGAACACACCCCUGGCAGCUUCCAUCACAUCCCUAACCUCUUAGGCCACCUUAGUGCUAGAACAUCCACAUUCUCCUCAGCCUCAGUGCAAUGCUGAGGCAGGACCUUUCCUUCUCUGGGCCCCAGCCUCCUCUGUGGCACGAGGAUUUGGACUGACUGGAGCUCUCUGAGGUCCCUUCCAACUCUGACCUUCUAGGAAGUCAUCGAUCGGCACACUCCACCCCCCAGCUCAGGCAUGGGGAGGACUUUUGGCCUGUUCUGAAAAACUCUCCUCACACAUAAAGGCACACACCCCAUCCUAAUCUUUUCACAAAAAGGAAGUCCCCUUCUACCUUCUAGCCUAAACCCCUCCAAACACAUCUUGCUCAUUAGCCCUGAAAACUAGCUCCACCUUGAGACUUGCCAAAAACUACCAGAUUCAUCACAAAGAGCUGUGGGGCCUCCCGGAUUCCCAACUCCGGCCUCCUACUCCCAUCUCCGAGAGCUACUUGGCAGGAAGAGGAAUCCCGUUCCUCGACAAGCAGCACUCGGGGGCCCCAGUACCCUGGCUUCUUGGCCAGCCAAUCACAGCAGCCUGCACGCUGCCCUCCUCCCCGGGAGAUGGGGCCCAGAGACUCCUCUCCGGGUCAAGAGAAGACUGGGCCGCUGUAGAGCAAGGUGGAGGAAGGUGCCAGCUCACCCCUCUCCCCCCACCCCCGCCCCUCGGGAGACGAUCUGCACGCCCUAAAUAACCUCUUCCAGGUCCAAGCAGCUCCCCCACCUCCUCUCCAGGCUCAGUGGGGAAAGAGAACCGGUGUCUCCCCUGUCCUGCCUCGGGAAGAGCCCAGCCCAAGUUCCCAGCAAGAGGCCCAGGGAGCCACUU